GUACACUCCUACGGGAGGCAGCAGUGGGGAAUAUUGGACAAUGGGCGCAAGCCUGAUCCAGCCAUGCCGCGUGAGUGAUGAAGGCCCUAGGGUUGUAAAGCUCUUUCACCGGAGAAGAUAAUGACGGUAUCCGGAGAAGAAGCCCCGGCUAACUUCGUGCCAGCAGCCGCGGUAAUACGAAGGGGGCUAGCGUUGUUCGGAAUUACUGGGCGUAAAGCGCACGUAGGCGGAUCGAUCAGUCAGGGGUGAAAUCCCAGGGCUCAACCCUGGAACUGCCUUUGAUACUGUCGAUCUGGAGUAUGGAAGAGGUGAGUGGAAUUCCGAGUGUAGAGGUGAAAUUCGUAGAUAUUCGGAGGAACACCAGUGGCGAAGGCGGCUCACUGGUCCAUUACUGACGCUGAGGUGCGAAAGCGUGGGGAGCAAACAGGAUUAGAUACCCCUGUAGUCCCA
rnacentral:rRNA from 1 species